CCUACGGGAGGCAGCAGUGGGGAAUUUUGCGCAAUGCUCGUGAGACUGAAGCAGCGACGCCGCGUGAAUGACGAAUGCCUUCGGGUCUUAAAGUUCUUUCGACAGGGAAGAAAAUGCCUAUAAGUAACUGUGUAUGUAUUGACGGUACCUAUAUAAGCAGCCCCGGCUAACUCCGUGCGAGCAGCCGCGGUAAUACGUAGGAUGGGAGUGUUAUCCGGCUUGAUUGGGUUAAAGGGGUGCGUGGGCGGACUGUUCAGUCAGCGUUAAAGGCCGUGGGAUCAACCCCGGCGAGCAGUUGAAACUGGCUGUCUUGAGAUGGCGUGAGGUAUGCGGAAUGCGCAGUGUAGCGGUGAAAUGCUUAGAUAUCACGCAGAACUCCGAUUGCGAAGGCAGCAUACCGGCGGCGCUCUGACGCUGAGGCACGAAAGCGUGGGUAUCGAACAGGAUUAGAUACCCGUGUAGUC
rnacentral:rRNA from 1 species